rnacentral:rRNA from 1 species
GGCGGCAGGCCUAACACAUGCAAGUCGAGCGCACCUUCGGGUGAGCGGCGGACGGGUUAGUAACGCGUGGGAACGUACCCUUUUCUACGGAAUAGCCUUUGGAAACGAAGAGUAAUACCGUAUACGCCCUUUGGGGGAAAGAUUUAUCGGAGAAGGAUCGGCCCGCGUUAGAUUAGAUAGUUGGUGGGGUAACGGCCUACCAAGUCUACGAUCUAUAGCUGGUUUUAGAGGAUGAUCAGCAACACUGGGACUGAGACACGGCCCAGACUCCUACGGGAGGCAGCAGUGGGGAAUCUUAGACAAUGGGCGCAAGCCUGAUCUAGCCAUGCCGCGUGAGUGAUGAAGGCCUUAGGGUCGUAAAGCUCUUUCGCCUGUGAUGAUAAUGACAGUAGCAGGUAAAGAAACCCCGGCUAACUCCGUGCCAGCAGCCGCGGUAAUACGGAGGGGGUUAGCGUUGUUCGGAAUUACUGGGCGUAAAGCGCACGUAGGCGGAUUGGAAAGUUGGGGGUGAAAUCCCGGGGCUCAACCCCGGAACUGCCUCCAAAACUAUCAGUCUAGAGUUCGAGAGAGGUGAGUGGAAUUCCAAGUGUAGAGGUGAAAUUCGUAGAUAUUUGGAGGAACACCAGUGGCGGAAGGCGACUCACUGGCUCUUAUACUGA